CUGGUUCAGGAUGAACGCUAGCGACAGGCCUAACACAUGCAAGUCAGGGGCAGCACAAGGAGCAAUCUGAGGUGGCGACCGGCGCACGGGUGAGUAACACGUAUGCAACCUGCCUGUAAGCGGGGAAUAACCCGUUGAAAGACGGACUAAUACCGCAUAAUACUAAAUUACUGCAUGGUAAUUUAUUUAAACAUUUAUGGCUUACAGAUGGGCAUGCGCAUGAUUAGCUAGUUGGAGAGGUAACGGCUCCCCAAGGCAACGAUCAUUAGGGGUUCUGAGAGGAAGGUCCCCCACACUGGUACUGAGACACGGACCAGACUCCUACGGGAGGCAGCAGUGAGGAAUAUUGGUCAAUGGACGAGAGUCUGAACCAGCCAAGUCGCGUGCAGGAAGAAUGUCCUAUGGAUUGUAAACUGCUUUUGCAGGGGAAUAAAGUGCAUCACGUGUGAUGUUUUGUAUGUACUCUGCGAAUAAGGAUCGGCUAACUCCGUGCCAGCCGCCGC
rnacentral:rRNA from 1 species